CAUGGGACUUUAAAGAUGGACGCCCCUCCAGAGAGGAGAGACACCAGAUGACGUCAAAGGUUCCAAGUGCUCAGUCUCUACAGCAACAUCAAACAGAGCUGAUCAAGAGGGCUGAGGAGAACGCACACACUUUUCUAGACAAGGAG